rnacentral:misc_RNA from 1 species
GUGGGCUCGGGUGCGCGGCGGCGGGUCGGUGCGGCGCGACGCGACGCUCGGCGGCACGGGCCGGUCUGUGACAGGGGCGUGCGCGGCGGCUGACUGCUGGCGCCGCCAGGACACCGGGCAGGAGUCGGGGAAUGCAGAUACUGCCGCGCACAAGUCACCAAUGAUGGAAAUAAACUCCGCCUUCACGCAUCUGCCUUCUAAACCGGAUGUGAACAGCGGCUCGCCGGUGCUGGUGCGCUCCACCGAGGCUAACAACGUGGCCAACUCGUGGCACGACGCGUCCCGCCACGACGCCUUUCAGCAGCAGCUCCUGCAGAUGGGGUCGGUUAACAAGGCGAUACCGGACGAUGUGCUGCGGGUGAGUUGGUCCGUGUGUAUGUGUGUGUGUGUGUGUGUGCGUGUGCGUGUGUGUGCGCGUGCUUGUACUGUGACGUCCGGCGCAGUCAGCUAGCCCGCAUGCCCCGCUCACGCGUUCGGCACGGAGUUUGGUGUGCCCUCUGCCGGCUGCUGUCGACCGCAUGCGCACUAAGGUGUGUCGACGGAAACAGAUCAUGGUGGACCCAUGUUUCCCUGGCGCGCACAAAGAAGAGCGAACUUGACCGAGUUGGUGGAAGAAACAUGAAAGCUCUAAUGGGCGGUUGAAGUUCUACCACUGACAUCUGGCACUGGCACGGGCACCUGGCGAGUGGUUUGGGAGCUGCUGGCCUCUCUCCUGCCUUCAGGGCCAGCAUCAUUGCGAUCUGGCACGGACCUCUAGCCUCUGUCUGAUGAUGUCUUUAUAUUUCCCUGACUAGCUUGAAUGGUUGCGCUUUAAAAAAAAAAAACAACAUCAAUGAGUUUGCCCCGCUGUUAGACCUACGCCAUUUCAGGGGCUUUCCCGUCUUCCGCUUCGUUGGAGCGCGGCUGGUGCGUCACGCCGUGCUGAUUCCACGUUUGGUAUGCUAGGCAAAGCGCAAAGUAGAGCGGUAUCCGGUGUGUGGUUUACGUUGUUUUUUCUCUGGACAUUUGAAGCCAUCGCGUGUGGAUGGCCGUCAAGUCAGGGCAAACGAGGUUAGGCCUCAGUUUUAUCGGUGAUUUCAAACCCUAGGAUGACCUCAGAUGCCCAUGGCGUGCCCCGCACUGCCCCCGCGGCGGUAAUGGCUGAAAGUUUUGACCGGAACCAACUGUGCUGUGCGCCGGGCAUCUGAAAAAUCAAGCAGAUCCAAAAAUUCAGUAUCCAAUAGAAUAGUUAACUAGUAAGUCAAGAAUGUAGAAUCUAGAAUCAGGCCAAUCUCUGAAAUGGCAGUGCGUUCGGUGCAGUCAAGUCGCCAAUGGUUGAACUGCAAUUUCCUCCGCAAAAAAAGUUUUCUUCUUCCCAGCAGCGUGUUCAAAUUCGUGGUUCCAUGUGCACCCCACACAAACAUGGCUGGCCCAGCUAGACUGGUGGACGUCUCCUCAGUGUGCGGUGACACACCCUG